UACGUAGGGCGCGAGCGUUGUCCGGAUUUAUUGGGCGUAAAGAGCUCGUAGGCGGCUUGUCGCGUCGUCCGUGAAAACUUGGGGCUCAACCCCCAAGCUUGCGGUCGAUACGGGCAGGCUAGAGUUCGGUAGGGGAGACUGGAAUUCCAGGUGUAGCGGUGAAAUGCGUAGAUAUCUGGAGGAAUACCGGUGGCGAAGGCGGCAUCCUGGACCGACAUUGACGCUGAUGAGCGAAAGCUAGGGGAGCAAACGGG
rnacentral:rRNA from 1 species